AACCCAUGGUGAGGACAUUAUCUUUGUAAUUCUUUGAACCUCUCUUAAACUUCAUACAAUGUCUCUUUGUCUUUCUGGUAGUAAAUAUUUAUCUCAUUUCUCAAUUU